rnacentral:rRNA from 1 species
UACGGAGGGGGCAAGCGUUGUCCGGACUUACUGGGCGUAAAGGGUGCGUAGGCGGCCUGCUGCGUCGGUGCUGAAAGCGACCCCGGCUUAACCGGGCGAGGCGUGCCGAUACGAGCGGGCUGGAGCCUUGGGCGAGGGUGGCGGAACUCCUGGUGUAGUAGUGAAAUGCGUAGAGAUCAGGAAGAACACCCGUGGCGCAAGCGGCCACCUGGCCAAGAGCUGACGCUGAGGCACGAGAGCGUGGGGAGCGAACCGG